rnacentral:pre_miRNA from 11 species
UGUCCAGUAGUGAUCAAUACAUAGCUACAGCUGGUUGAAGGGGACCAAAUCCAUUUAACAGGUGAUUUGGUUCCAUUUUACCAGCUUUAGCAAAGCAUCGAC